AUGCGGCACGAGAAACGCACCGAGCUGCAAAUGGAGAUUCAGAGGAGGAGGAGAGAAAGAGAGGAGGAAAAAAAAGAAAAGUAAAUGCUGCAUGUGACAAAAAAGCUCGGUGAUUUUGUUUUCUCAUGCCCUUACUUCUAAACCAGCUGCACAGCCAAGCUCAGGCUGCUUGGCCCUUAUAACUAUCUUGGCACAGAGUCAAAAGCUGAUAAGCAUUUGGGCGAGACAGCUCAACUGCUGUGCUGGAAGAAAAACAGCUGCCAUGAUUGCUGUUUGAUUGAGAGCGCUUACACAUACUCACAAAAAAAACAUAUCGGACUGCAAAGACGGGCCACAAAUGCCUGAGGAUUCAGCUUCAGAGGAGCAACGCACAUUUUCCCCCCUUUAAAAAAAAAAAAAAAAAAAAAAAAAGUUUUAUAUAGUUUUUCCUCCAUUUGCCCUCCCCCUUUUUUUAAAGAAAACGUACUGCGUAGACUUGCUUUUCUUCUUCCCAUCCCCCCUCCAUAACCUCAAGCAAACUCAAGGAAUUGUGCCAAAAGUCCCGUUGCUAGUUACCAAGUGCAUUUUUUUAAACGUCACUUUCUUUCCCUCAUGCUUGCCAUGGAAUAUGCAAGUAAGAUAAUCUUUCCAUUACUUACAAAAAGUAAUUAAAAAAGGAAAGGAACUUCUAGCAAACCUUCCUUUUUCUGCCUUUUUUUUUUUCUCUUUCUCUGAAGGGGCAAAAGAAGGGAAACGAGGGGGAGAAGAAUAUUUUUUCUCUUUGCAGAGUCCAACAUUUGGCUUUGUCCAUUUGUGGCAGAUCACUGUAACGCUAUUGUAAAACAACUUCCUGCCCCUUUUGGCUCCGGUUCCAGAAGCUACUAGGCUAAGUUAAUAGCACAAACUUUUUUCCCCCCUACCGAAGAAGAGAGACCAAAAAAAAUCCUGCAAAUUAUUUUCCCCCUUUUCUGGCUAAUGGACUCAUAAGGUGAACUCAUGGCAGCUCUUUAAGAAUGUUACACAAGAGACAUCGCUACCUCAGCUGGAUAAUUCGAGCUGAAAAGCAACAGCAUUUCUUGGUACGCCUGCUUUGGCAUACAUCAGCAUUUCUACCCGUCCAAGUGUCCUUUUGCGUCACAUCUCGCCAUUUCACUCAACCAAUGAGAUCUCCGUGUUGCAGUAAAAAUAUAUAUACUUUUUCUGUUAUUGGUAUAUUCAAAAAUUUGUUUAUGUGCUUUCCUAACAAAAAAUGUUCUUCAGCAUUUGAUUUGCCCUGUGUGAAGAAAAAAAAAAAAAAAAAAAAAGAGAGAGAGACUGUACAGGAUUCAGCCUUGAAGAGUCCUCUUUGUGGAAAAUAUAUUACCGUAAGAAAAAAGGGAUUGCAUGGUUACUUAAGGAAAGUCGUAGUUGUCCCCCUGAUUUAAUGUUUAUUUUGCUUAUGCUAUCAUUGGUGUUCUUUUAAAAUAGUUAGGCAGUUUCAACUAACUGGAAAAGUCAAUACCAUGUGUUUCUAAGACUUUGUAAAAUACUCCAAGGGAAAAAAAUAAAAAGAUAUUGAUGUUUUAUUCCUCUAAAUAUUGAUCAAGAAAUUAUAAAAAAAAAUGCAAUGGAAAAUUGAGUUUCUAUUUCUCGUAACUCAGAUCCCAUCCAGAGAGGCUGCUCUCUAACCUUCUGCUUAGAAAUGCACGAUCCUGCAAAACGGAGCAGAGGUCUUCUCAGGUUUUUUCUACGAUGUAUUUCCCUCUUACAUAAACUCACAGUCUUCUAAAAAUAAAGUAUUUAAAUGAUCAGCUGUGGUAAUGACAGUGACAAAGCUUUAAUGCUAUUUACAAUAGCUUGUAAAGCAGCCAUCCCAAGAGCUGCAUGCACUCUGCCUAACUGAUAAGACUGGCAAAAGCAAGAAUUACUAAGAACAGUGUAUCCUGCGUUUGACGGGACACACUUUCCACCUAUACAUCAUAAAGCGUAUUAAAACCCUUUUCAUUGUUUUCAGACAUGACACAGUAACUGUGAAUACAUUCUAUUAAAACACACAAUAUUAGCUAAGUGUAGAAAGCAUAGUGUGGCACAUGUGGGUUUCUUAGAACUGUCUGGCUGUGCCACAUCUUGAAUGACUACUGCAGUGACAUAUUUAGAGACCCUCUGUUGCACAUUUUUAUCCAGCCUCAAAUCUCAAGAAAAUGCACAACCACUGGCAUUCUGAGGAGAAUAAACAUUUCUUUUGUAAGCCAAGUAUAUGUUUUACGGUUUACCCUUACCAUCUUUUCUCUCUCCCUCCCCCCCCCCCCUUUUUUUUCAAUAGUGUGAAACCACAACAUGUUUUUAAUAUUUAUUUUUUGAGAAUUACAGUAAAAACAGACUCAAGACUAUCAGGAUGUAACUGACAAGAUAAUUAAACAGCAACUUUCCCACAAAGUUUUAUGUCACACCUAGUAAUUCUGAACUCUUCUAAUAACUGAGGUAUCUGUUGUGCACAGGCUGUGGAGGAUACGUAUUCAUACAUUCUGGGUGGUGAAAAAGUAAAAGCAAGCAGAACUUCUGGAUAACAGACUUAGCAACAGAUAGCCAUAGUGUCCAGCUAAAACUCUUAUCAUUUUUGUUUAAAAAUAAUGACAUGACAUUCGUGAUAGUAUUUAUUUUAACAGACAUGCACAGAUGAGAAUGUUAACCCUGCACAGAAGAGAAGAGAUUACAUGGGAUAGUACAUUCAACAACUUUUGAUGCCGAUGUAAUAUAGAAGACAACUAUUUUUUAAGGAAGAAUUAAAUUCAAGUAUAUAAAUAACUUAGCUGGCAGUGUUUUAUUUGCAUUUAAUAGGAUUUCUAAAUGACUCUUCACCCUUUCUCUUGGACACUAUUUUCAGCACAUUAUUUAUUAUUCUAUAUAUAUAAAUAUAAAUACAUAUCUCCCUAUUCUUUUACUUUCUGUACCUCUUUUUUUCUCACUUUUUGUAAAAAUGUGAAGGCACCUGAGUUUCACCUCUGCUUCUGUCUGUCUCAUAACUGAGAUAAUUCUACUACAUUUGGAGGGUUAAAGGUAACUCCUUUACACAGUUGUGGCUCAGACUCAUUCACUGUAAGUUAUCCUUCUUUACACAAGACACACAAAUGCAUUGUAUGUGUCACCAUAGCUGUAAAAUAAGAUUGCAAGUCAUCUAAUUUUAGGUUACUACAGUACUAAAAAGAUAAGGAUUCAGAAAAGCAAUUAAGUGAAGUCUAACUUGCAGGCUUCACUUAAGAGAAAUGGAAUUCCAAAAAAACAAAGUGGAAGAAUUAUUUCAACAUUAAUUAUCCGUGAAUAAAUUUAAAUAACAUAAAUGGUAAUAUGGUGACAGUUUUGCACUGAAGUUUGCUUAUACUAUUACAUAAUUUUAUAACCCUUUUCUUUCCUCUUAUCACAAGUUCUGUCUAUUGGAAACUCAUUAAUAGAUACUUCUGCUAAUACACUAAUUCAUCGUCUUGUAUUUUAAGAAGAAAAAUAGUCUGUGUUUUAUGCAAUACAGGCAACAAACUAUCUCUGAAGAGAUCUGUGAUUUUUUCUUUCUAAAUAAUAUAGAUCAUUUUCAAGAUUGGAUGUUUUCCAAUCUAACAACCUCCAGAAAUGUUUAAUAAAAAAUUAGCAGGUAUGUUUUUGUUGUUGUUGUUGUUGUUUUUGUUUUUUUAAGAAAAAUAAUCCUACCAAACAUGUUAGACUUUUAGGAUAAAGCCAUCCAUAAGAGUGCAAACUGACAUUUUUGAAUUUUUACUUUCAGUAUCAUUAAAGUAAUUCCAGUAUAUCUUAUAAGAAUUAUCACUAAGAAUUGCUAUACUUAACAUUUGGAGAGCAUUUAUUUUUAAAGACACUUUCCACAGAUGAAAAAAAAAA